rnacentral:tRNA from 1 species
GGAGGGAUGGCCGAGUGGUCUAUGGCGACGCUCUUGAAAAGCGUUGUGGGGUUUUCCCACCGGGGGUUCGAAUCCCUCUCCCUCCGCCU